rnacentral:rRNA from 1 species
UUGAAGAGUUUGAUCAUGGCUCAGAUUGAACGCUGGCGGCAGGCCUAACACAUGCAAGUCGAACGGUAACAGGAAACAGCUUGCUGUUUCGCUGACGAGUGGCGGACGGGUGAGUAAUGUCUGGGAAACUGCCUGAUGGAGGGGGAUAACUACUGGAAACGGUAGCUAAUACCGCAUAACGUCGCAAGACCAAAGAGGGGGACCUUCGGGCCUCUUGCCAUCGGAUGUGCCCAGAUGGGAUUAGCUAGUAAGGUGGGGUAACGGCUCACCUAGGCGACGAUCCCUAGCUGGUCUGAGAGGAUGACCAGCCACACUGGAACUGAGACACGGUCCAGACUCCUACGGGAGGCAGCAGUGGGGAAUAUUGCACAAUGGGCGCAAGCCUGAUGCAGCCAUGCCGCGUGUAUGAAGAAGGCCUUCGGGUUGUAAAGUACUUUCAGCGGGGAGGAAGGGAGUAAAGUUAAUACCUUUGCUCAUUGACGUUACCCGCAGAAGAAGCUAACUCCGUGCCAGCAGCCGCGGUAAUACGGAGGGUGCAAGCGUUAAUCGGAAUUACUGGGCGUAAAGCGCACGCAGGCGGUUUGUUAAGUCAGAUGUGAAAUCCCCGGGCUCAACCUGGGAACUGCAUCUGAUACUGGCAAGCUUGAGUCUCGUAGAGGGGGGUAGAAUUCCAGGUGUAGCGGUGAAAUGCGUAGAGAUCUGGAGGAAUACCGGUGGCGAAGGCGGCCCCCUGGACGAAGACUGACGCUCAGGUGCGAAAGCGUGGGGAGCAAACAGGAUUAGAUACCCUGGUAGUCCACGCCGUAAACGAUGUCGACUUGGAGGUUGUGCCCUUGAGGCGUGGCUUCCGGAGCUAACGCGUUAAGUCGACCGCCUGGGGAGUACGGCCGCAAGGUUAAAACUCAAAUGAAUUGACGGGGGCCCGCACAAGCGGUGGAGCAUGUGGUUUAAUUCGAUGCAACGCGAAGAACCUUACCUGGUCUUGACAUCCACGGAAGUUUUCAGAGAUGAGAAUGUGCCUUCGGGAACCGUGAGACAGGUGCUGCAUGGCUGUCGUCAGCUCGUGUUGUGAAAUGUUGGGUUAAGUCCCGCAACGAGCGCAACCCUUAUCCUUUGUUGCCAGCGGUCCGGCCGGGAACUCAAAGGAGACUGCCAGUGAUAAACUGGAGGAAGGUGGGGAUGACGUCAAGUCAUCAUGGCCCUUACGACCAGGGCUACACACGUGCUACAAUGGCGCAUACAAAGAGAAGCGACCUCGCGAGAGCAAGCGGACCUCAUAAAGUGCGUCGUAGUCCGGAUUGGAGUCUGCAACUCGACUCCAUGAAGUCGGAAUCGCUAGUAAUCGUGGAUCAGAAUGCCACGGUGAAUACGUUCCCGGGCCUUGUACACACCGCCCGUCACACCAUGGGAGUGGGUUGCAAAAGAAGUAGGUAGCUUAACCUUCGGGAGGGCGCUUACCACUUUGUGAUUCAUGACUGGGGUGAAGUCGUAACAAGGUAACCGUAGGGGAACCUGCGGUUGGAUCACCUCCUU